AGUGAACGCUGGCGGUAGGCCUAACACAUGCAAGUCGAACGGCAGCACAGUAAGAGCUUGCUCUUACGGGUGGCGAGUGGCGGACGGGUGAGGAAUACAUCGGAAUCUACUUUUUCGUGGGGGAUAACGUAGGGAAACUUACGCUAAUACCGCAUACGACCUACGGGUGAAAGCAGGGGAUCUUCGGACCUUGCGCGAUUGAAUGAGCCGAUGUCGGAUUAGCUAGUUGGCGGGGUAAAGGCCCACCAAGGCGACGAUCCGUAGCUGGUCUGAGAGGAUGAUCAGCCACACUGGAACUGAGACACGGUCCAGACUCCUACGGGAGGCAGCAGUGGGGAAUAUUGGACAAGGGGGGAAAGCCUGAUCCAGCCAUACCGCGUGGGUGAAGAAGGCCUUCGGGUUGUAAAGCCCUUUUGUUGGGAGAGAAAAGCAGCAGGUUAAUACCCCGCUGUUCUGACGGUACCCAAAGAAUAAGCACCGGCUAACUUCGUG
rnacentral:rRNA from 1 species